GAGCGCCGCGCCCCCUCCUCCUCCGGAGCCCCUCAGUGCAUAAGCCGAAGCAAAUGACCAGGAAAUAUCAAUCCGGAACCUUCCAAAGCCUCCAGGGCUUAAAAGGCAAAGGAAGCCUGAAGAGCUUUCCAGGAGACAGAAACUGAGAAGACAUGAGAACCUCCCCAUGGCCUAUCUCCCCUGGAUCCUUUGCCUCUGGGAACAUUCUGGAACAACUGGCAGAACAAGAUGGGGUGAAGACCAGGAGGGAUUUGACAGCAGACAGACAGAGAGUGAAGACGCUAUGGAAACAACACAAGCUCCUCCAAGACCAACCGUGGAGACUCCAGUGACCGACCUAACCUGUCUCCAGCCGUGACGGGUGGUGUGCAGGGAAUCGAGACUCUCUCCACUUGAAACAAGUCAUCGUUCACCGGCAUUGGUACCUCCCAGCUGCCCCCCCAGUGAGGGCAUCCCCAACACCGAGGUGAGUUCAGCCUCUGGGGGACAAGGUACUAAUUCAGGCUGCAGCUGAAUUAGCCUUGGAGACACUGGGCUGAAAAGGAAACCAGACACCAAGGCCACAUACUGUGUGACCCCAGAGGAAAUGUCCUUAAAAGAAUCCUCGGGGGCUGAAAGGGGCCUGAGUGGCAGUCAUGGGGGAGCAGUGGAGAAUGGCUGCUCGUGGGUAUCGUGUCUGGGGGUGAGGAAACAUCUAGGAGGAGACAUCACGUUGUAUGAGUGCCUGGCUGUUUUGGAGAAUUGGAAGAAACUGGAUGGAGGUGUUGGUAGCUCAGGUCUGGACAUUUGUCAAAACCCAUCCAUAUUCUCUUCAAGUCAGCAGGUUCUAAGAAGUGAGGUGUCAGCUCGUGAAUAAAGAGUGUUGGUGGCAGCUCUCUUGCGCGAGGUGACUGCAGGCGCCUCUCUGUCUUUCUCCUUUUACACUGUGAAAAAGAAAAGAAGAAAAAAAAAAGACCUUUGGGAAAAUACAGUCACUAAUUAUUUUAAAAUGGAAAAGAACGCUCCGCCAAAUGGGAUUCCCGAAUGGAUAUAAAGAGUCAUCAAAAGCGAGUGAGAAAUCUUCAGGGAGGUGCAUAGUGACUUAUGAGAAAUGAACCAGAAUUUAAACUGAUAACAGAUUGUUAUCACCAAGUCAAGUCUGGGCAUGCAGGUUGGCAGAACGUGAAGAAAUCCCCAGCUCCAGUGAGAAAUCCGGAAUAAGAUGAGUAGCAGUAUACAGAAUGAGACCAAAAACCAAAAUGGAAACACUUGUUUGUAACAGAAGUGCAGCCCAUGGUUCUGGGGAUGCUGGCAGCUCCAGCUCCCCGUGCUCCCUUGUGGUGCUCCCUCACGAUGCUCCUACAAGGUGCUCCCUCGAGGUGCUCCCUGACACAUAGGCCUGGCUCCUGCUGAGGGGGGGGCACCCC